rnacentral:ncRNA from 1 species
CCCACCGCAGGUGGGUGCCGAAGGAAGCCGGAGGGAAAGCCACGGCCCGAUGAACAAGAACCCGUUAUGAGGCCAGACCGUUCGGAUGAGCUGGCGAAUCACAGCGAAAUCCAAGGCUGCCAAGGGGUGGUAGGGUAUAUGGGGCGGGCGCGGGGAGGCUUUCGCUCUU